GCCAGGAAGAAGAUUUAGAUGAUCAACCAUCCAGCAGCUGGUCUGUAGACUCUGCAACAGGUCCCAGCCCUGACCAGCAACAACCAUCAACUACCAGUUCAGGCAGUGUGGUCCAGGCUACACCUCGUGUAUCUGUCGCAUCGGCAGUUCAUUGGCUCCCACGAUCAUGUUGCUGGAGGACGUCCGGCUUCUCCUGCCGCCGCUGAUCUUCGCUGGGACGGGAAUCGGCAGCUUGGUCUUCGUGCUCCCUGAGACGCUCAACUUCCGUCCGCCUGAAAACAUCUUGGAUGUCAAGGAGGGAAGACACAGACAAAGCAAUGGAAACAGAGAUGCAGAGACUGAGCUGAGGAAGAUAAACUCUGAAGACCCGACAGCCCAGCAGCAAAACUGACAAGCUGCAGUCUGUUGAUGUCACAGCUGAUGUCCCUUUAGUGUUCUGAGUCUUUAUUAAAGCACUGAAGUGAUGCUUGACUGUCUGUUGUUCAGACACAUAACACCUUGUUAAGCACAUCAAGUAUUUUGUGUCUGUUUGUCUACUUCACGUUACUUUUUUCUGGCUUUUUCAUUUCUUAAAACUGGCUCAAAAGCUGCUGUAUAGCUGAGCCUCGUGUCAUCAGUGUGUGUUGUGGUCCGUCUGUAACGGCUCAGUGGUGUCUGUAAUGUGAAAUCCUGGGGAUUAAAUUGUUUAAAUGCAUUGAAGCAGCACAUCACAAGACCUGGUGAUGAUGUGUUUGAGUCAAAAAAAGGUGAGAAAUAUAAAAUAUUUUAUAAAAUAUUCAUUGUUGUCAUGAUUACGAGCUGGGUGGAAACGGUGGAACAUGUGACUCUGCAGAGACACGACUCAGUGGGUCCAGCGCUCAUUAAAACCUCUUCCUGCUCGCCUUCACCCUGAAGCGUCAGGUGGACUCAGUCUGAAACCUAACAGAAGACUCAGUGACACAUUGGAGGUCACAGUGCAGAAGGUUAAAAUCACUGCUUCAAAGAAUCCUGUUUGUAUUUUGUAAACAUAUAACAUGUUAUUAAGGUGACAUCUUAAUCUGAAAGUAACUAUAACCAAAGCAAAUGUACAUUUUCUGCCUCUGAUGUGCCAAGGAGUGAAAGUAAAAGCUACUGAGUACUUCAGUAAGUGUACUUUGUUACUUUCCACCACCAGCUAAUGAGUUAAAGGCUCAAACACUGAGGCUCACUGCUGCCAAUCAAACAGCACCCUGCACUUCUCUACAUUUG